UAACCAAACAAACAGCUAAAACCAAUUCAAGAAAGCCUCCUUGCCGCUUUGGUUGUUCUGCUUCUCUCUCUCUCUAAAACUCUCUCUCUCUCAACAUUUAUCGAUUGCCGAGGUCUCAUUCCUCUGCGAACUCAAAUGUAGCGCCUUCGAUCCUGUUAGGGUUUCGAUUUCUGAAUCGUCUUUUGUCGAUUGCCUUCUGUUUGAUUCUAGACAUUUAGGGUUUUCAUUAGGGGGGGUGGGGGGGUUUCAGUGGUCUGUAGACAUGAAGGAUUUGAAUUCGGAUGUUUUUGACCCAACGGCUGGGAUGGAUUCGGAUUAUUCGCGUGCCUCUUGUUCUUCACCAUCCGACGCGGAUUUUGGAUUCGCUUUUAACGAUAGUAAUUUCUCUGAUCGGUUGCUUCGGAUUGAGAUUAUGGGGGAACUGGAGGAGGCCCGUCCAGAUUCUGUGGGAUGUACGAGCAUCCUCGAUUGGGCUCGACGGAAGAGACGGAGAGAAGAUUGCAAGAAGGAUAACGUUGUCGAUCUAAAUGGAUGCCCUGAGGAGCAAGUCUUAAAUGGAAGCCAUCCUGAUAUGGAUGAUGGCAUACCUUGUGACAAUCUAGAUGAUGAACCUGCUCAAAUGAUUGAAGAGCUACAUUCAGGUGAUGAAGCUGCAAAUGGCGAUGAAUCAAGCUGGGGGAUGGAUUGUUCUACUGUUAUUAAAGUCAAAACGUUGCAUAUCAGCUCUCCAAUUUUGGCUGCUAAAAGCCCUUUUUUCUACAAGCUUUUCUCUAAUGGGAUGAGGGAGUCUGAACAGCGGAAUGUGACCUUACGAAUCAAUGCCUCAGAGGAAGCUGCACUAAUGGAGUUGCUGAAUUUUAUGUAUAGCAAUACCCUAUCUUGUAGCACUGCUUUGUCUUUGCUUGAUGUGCUUAUGGCCGCCGACAAAUUUGAGGUUGCUUCAUGCAUGAGGUAUUGCAGCAGACUUUUAAGAAAUUUACCCAUGACACCUGAGUCUGCAUUGCUAUAUCUAGAGCUUCCAUCCAGUGUCUUAAUGGCUGAAGCAGUCCAACCAUUGACUGAUGCAGCAAAGCAGUAUCUUGCUGUUCGCUACAAGGACAUAACCAAGUACCAGGAUGAGGUUAUGGCUUUGCCUCUUGCAGGAGUGGAGGCAAUAUUGUGUAGUGACGAUCUACAGGUUGCAUCAGAGGAUGCAGUAUACGAUUUCAUCUUGAAGUGGGCUAGAUCUCAGUAUUCAAGGUUGGAGGAGAGGCGAGAAGUGCUGGGGGCCAGACUUGCACGUUAUAUUCGAUUCCCCUUUAUGACCUGUCGAAAGCUUAAGAAAGUCCUGACCUGCAAUGACUUCGACCACGAGGUUGCUUGCAAACUUGUGCUUGAGGCCCUUUUCUUCAAGGCGGAGGCCCCUCACCGACAGAGAAUCAUAGCUGCGGAUGAGUCGGCUUCCUCAAACCGCCGAUUCUUUAUUGAGAGAGCAUACAAAUACCGUCCAGUCAAGGUUGUUGAGUUUGAUUGCCCUCGGCAGCAGUGUGUAGUAUACCUGGACCUAAAGCGGGAAGAAUGUACAAAUUUGUUUCCGUCUGGGAGAGUGUAUUCUCAGGCAUUCCACUUGGGUGGACAAGGAUUUUUCCUUUCAGCUCAUUGCAACAUGGACCAGCAGAGCUCAUUUCAUUGUUUUGGGCUUUUCUUGGGAAUGCAGGAAAAAGGAUCAGUAUCUUUCGCAGUAGACUAUGAAUUUGCUGCAAGAUCAAAGCCUACAGAGGAAUUUGUUAGCAAAUAUAAGGGCAAUUACACAUUCACUGGAGGCAAGGCUGUUGGCUAUAGAAACUUGUUUGCAAUACCAUGGACUUCUUUCAUGGCCGAAGAUAGUCUAUACUUCAUAAAUGGAGUCCUCCAUCUUAGAGCUGAACUUACCAUCAGGCCCUGACCGACUCCGACUCCGACCACGUUCUGUUCUGUUCUGUAUCUAAAGGAUCGAAAGGCUUCAUAUGUGGUCAACCAGUGAACUCGACUCGGCUUCAUUUUCAAUGAAUUUCACCAUUUUCUUUUUCUGAAGCAAGAAAUAAGUUUUGAGAAAAAAGAGAUUGUUUCCAUUUAAUGAACUUGACAAAUCUUAUUAUACAGAUACAAAGAAAAGGGGACAUAUUGCCUCUUACAAACUAAGUGGAGUAGAGUACAAAAUGAUGAUUCAUAAGAGGAACCAUGCAUGUCGAAACACGGCGCCCGAUAACGCGCAUCUUAUUCUGCUCCAGCAAUCUUCUUCUUCAAUGCUUCAAUGUCAUCAGCUAGCUCCUUUCUGCUUGACUGAGGAAGCAAGAAGAAACAAACAACAUUCUUCAAGUCAAUGUCCAGUUGCAGAACCAACCAAGAGCUAUGAUUACAUUUCUAUGGUUUCUUAGAACUCUCAGAUUGCCAUUUUCAUCCAAUAAUCUCUUUAGAAACAUGUGACACGAACGUUUUAAUCUCGAACAAAACUUAGAAACCAUAGCAAAAUCUCAUCAAGGGUGAAGCUUGAGAAAGCAUCAAACAUUAAAAUGAUGACACAAUGCAGAUUUUGUUGUAAAUCACGAACCUCCGUAAUGGUAUAAUAUUGUCCACUUUGAGC